GACGAACGCUGGCGGCGUGCCUAAUACAUGCAAGUCGAGCGAAUUGAAGGGAGCUUGCUCCCUGAUAUUAGCGGCGGACGGGUGAGUAACACGUGGGCAACCUGCCCUGCAGAUGGGGAUAACUCCGGGAAACCGGGGCUAAUACCGAAUAAUCAGUUCUUCCGCAUGGAAGAACUCUGAAAGACGGUUUCGGCUGUCACUGCAGGAUGGGCCCGCGGCGCAUUAGCUAGUUGGUGGGAUAACGGCCUACCAAGGCGACGAUGCGUAGCCGACCUGAGAGGGUGAUCGGCCACACUGGGACUGAGACACGGCCCAGACUCCUACGGGAGGCAGCAGUAGGGAAUCUUCCACAAUGGACGAAAGUCUGAUGGAGCAACGCCGCGUGAGCGAAGAAGGUUUUCGGAUCGUAAAGCUCUGUUGCGAGGGAAGAACAAGUACGGGAGUAACUGCCCGUACCUUGACGGUACCUCGUCAGAAAGCCACGGCUAACUACGUGC
rnacentral:rRNA from 1 species